rnacentral:rRNA from 1 species
UACGUAGGGUCCGAGCGUUGUCCGGAAUUAUUGGGCGUAAAGGGCUCGUAGGCGGUUUGUCGCGUCGGGAGUGAAAACACCGGGCUUAACUCGGUGCUUGCUUUCGAUACGGGCAGACUGGAGGUAUGCAGGGGAGAACGGAAUUCCUGGUGUAGCGGUGAAAUGCGCAGAUAUCAGGAGGAACACCGGUGGCGAAGGCGGUUCUCUGGGCAUGUCCUGACGCUGAGGAGCGAAAGCCAGGGGAGCAAACGGG